AUUGAACGCUGGCGGCAGGCUUAACACAUGCAAGUCGAACGGUGGAAGAUAGCUUUCGCCCGGACCUAGCGGCGGACGGGUGGGUAAUGCUUAGCAGUCUGCCUGUUAGUUGGGGGCAACAUCCCGAAGGAGAUGCUAAUACAUCAUACGUCCUAUGGCAGAAAGCAGGGGAGGUUCGUACCGUGCGCUUAGAGCUAAGCCUAAGCCGGAUUAGUUAGGUGGUGGGGUAAAGGCCUACCAAGGCGACGAUCUGUAGCGGGUCUGAAAGGAUGAACCGGCACACUGGGACUGAGACACGGGCCAGACUCCUACGGGAGGGAGCAGUGGGGAAUAUUGGAAAAUGGGGGGAACCCUGAUCCAGCCAUGCCGCGUGUGUGAAGAAGGCCUUAUGGUUGUAAAGCACUUUAAGCGAGGAGGAGGCUACUUUAGUUAAUAACCAGAGAUAGUGGACGUUACUCGCAGAAUAAGCACCGGCUAACUCGGUGCCAGCAGCCGCCGUAA
rnacentral:rRNA from 1 species